rnacentral:misc_RNA from 1 species
AACGGUCUAUACCUGCGGUACCUGCGGAGGGAUCAUUAUCGAGCUCGUGCCCUCCGGGCAGACCUCCCACCCUUUGUGAUUUCUACCACCGUUGCUUUGGCGGGCCGCCGGGCCGCGCCCCGCCGGCGCGCGCCCGCCAGAGGCCCCGUAGACCCCGGAUGUCAGCGUCGUCUGAGCGUCAUAUAAUCGUUAAAACUUUCAACAACGGAUCUCU